CAAAGUCGAUCAUCAAACUGCGGCCUAGGGUGUCCUGGAUUAUUAUAUUUAAUUUAUAUUUCAUUUAAAAAACAACAACAGAUAUUUAAAAUCCAGACAAACUGAAUCUAAAAACAAAGAACUAACCCAAAGCUUCUCAUUUCCUCUUUAAUUUGAUUUUUGUUGCUCUGAUAUUAAUUAUAACUAAACUUUAUCAGGUUGGUUUUUAUUCAGCUUUGAUUUUUGUUCUUUACAUGCAGCAGAUUAAGGAAAUAAAAGUGUUUUUAUCUUUUAUCAGGCAGUGAAGGAGCUGGAGAAGUGACUUAUGGAGAGUUAGUCACCAACCAGAAGAAGAAGAAGAAGAGGUCAAAGGCCAAAGAGAAUCAAUCAGGCCCAGAUGUUCUCUACUCCUCAGUGAGGUCACCCAGAGUUGACCUCUGACCUCCAGCAGCUGUUAGAUCUACUGGGAUCAGCUGAUCUGGUUUCCAGUUGCAGCUCAGGAAACCAAUAGCAUGAGCUAAGUGUUGCAGUCAGAGACUGAGCUAACGGCUAACAGCGGCCCAAGCUAAUAGCAAGCUAACAACAGGCUAAUUCUUUGCUUUUUAUGUAUUUUAACUUUGCAGCAACAUGUUGACCAGCAGAGGAAAUAAAACAUUUCAUCACAGCAGCUCUUCCUGUGCGGCGGCCAUGUUGGAUUUUAAGUUCUGGGUUGAAAUGUUUGAAUGUUUUUUAUCUGGAAAUUUAAAGUUUCAGAUUAGCUUCAUGCUAAUUUUGUUGUGUUCCGGGGCUCUCUGGUCCUAUUGGUGGGGUUGCCUGCGCGCCGUUCUACACAUUACCACCAGAAGGCGACAGGUUCCGGAUGGAGUGCGGUGACGUCAUUAUUUUCCUCAGCUGUUCCCGAUCACCUUCAUCAGCGGAGCAGACAUAGGAGUGGGCCGUCAGUCCAACGUCGCCUGAGUGUUGUGCCAGUCACGGUGAUCCCUCUGGCGAGAUCCUGGCUGAUUCCCCGGUUUAUGAACCGCCCUCGUGACGCCGUGGAAAUUACCCACAGGUUGCCCGAGUUCCCAGACUCACCUCUCCGCUGUUUGCAAAUCUCCUCUGGACUCCACGGCUGGCGGCCAUUCCACUCCUCCGUGGAUCCGUUUCACCCGAGCCUACCUGUCCUCUCCCCGCCGCACUCCUCCGUUGUCCCUGGAUCCACGAAGGACCGAGACCCCGGACAAACCCAGUUUCCCUCCACAACUCAGCUCCAACAACCACAAUGAACCGUUGCUGCCAUUACUGUUUAUUCCCCUGGACCAGACCACCCCGACUCUCUCUCUGAUUAUUGUGUGAUCUUUAAUAAAUCAUUUAAAACUGA